UAUCACGUAUCUAGAGUCUAGACUAGUUAGCUACUCUGGAUUCUCAGUGCGCAAUUUUAUCAUGGUCAUUCUAUCCUUUAUCCUUUUACUUCAGUUAAGUCCCAAGAUAAGUCAUUGUGCUAAUAUAACAGUACAGCCAGUGUCUAUUAAUACAACACUCAACUCUACUGUUGUCUUCUCUUGUGAAGGAA